rnacentral:rRNA from 1 species
GUCCACGCGGUAAACGAUGAAUACUAGAUGUCGGGGUAGCAAAGCUACUCGGUGUCGUCGCAAACGCAAUAAGUAUUCCACCUGGGGAGUACGUUCGCAAGAAUGAAACUCAAAGGAAUUGACGGGGACCCGCACAAGCGGUGGAGCAUGUGGUUUUAAUUCGAAGCAACGCGAAGAACCUUACCUGCUCUUGACAUCCCAUUCGAUAGAGGGUAAUGCCUCUAGCCCUUCGGGGGAAUGGAGACAGGUGGUGCAUGGUUGUCGU